AAAAAAUAUAAAAUAUGGUUAAAAAAUUCUCCUACUUAAGACUCCCAGACCCCUAGUUUUCCUCCCUAAAGGCAACUGACAUUACCAGUUUCCUGGGUAUCCAUGCAGGGAUAUUUUAUGCAUAAACAACCAAAUCUCUAUACAUGUCCAUAGAGAGAGGCAGACGUAUCUGCAUGUGCAUAAACACUCGUGUGUGUGUCCUUUUAUCCCAAAGGAAACACUUCUUUUUCCCUUGACAAAGGACAUCCUCUGCAUCUAGCUUCUAGAAAGUGCUGCCAAUUUGGGGACCAAGGGAGGGAGGCUGCAGAGGAACAUCGUUUGGUCAAAUGUGAAAUGUGAUCAGGAAGCCGGUGCUCAGCAAACUUAUCUGAAGCUCUUGGGGACCCCACAAAGAUGAGCGGGUCCCCUUCCCAAUUUUCGGACCGUCUUGGCAGAGGCUCCCUGUCAUCAAGGACCUGAGGUUGUCACAGCCGGAUGGUGUGGGAGCUGGCACUGCCGGGGCUCCCGCUGCCUGGGACACGUACGGCUGCCCAGUGAUCCUGAGCGCCGACCCCUGAGCACCUCAGUGUCCGUGACUGUGGAGCGGAGCAGGGAAGGGGCUCUGGAAGGGUCUGAAUCUGGUGUGUCCAGUGUGAUCCCUGCACCCAUGCCCGGAGCUGUGCCUGGGACCCUGCCCCAAGCAAAGUAAUAAUCUGAAUGAUAUCCUCAAAGGAGCCUGGCUUGGGCUAACAAGGAAGAACUUCCAACGUGGAGAGCUGUCCUGGCACCAUUUCUUCCUGCUGUAUUAGUUGAAGACCUACUGUGUUCAGGGCCGUGAGCCAGGGCACAACCACCCCUUGGGAGCACACUCUGCCUCAACCCUGGAGUGGCUCCGAAAUGAGUCUUCAGUCCACAAGACUGAGGGUUGCCAAUCCUUCUCGGGCAUCUUGAAGCAGACCAGCCACGUUGCAAGUGCUUGGAGGCCACGGAUGACUGGUGGCUGCUGUUCUGGGAGACAGAAUCCUAUAGCAUCCCCAGUCCUGCAGCACACAGGUGGGACAAUUCCAGCUUGAUGUCUCAGCCAGCGGGUUCCCACGUCCUCCCCGCCUCUCCCAGGCAGAAGACAGAGUGACCCAGUGGGCAGCUUACACAGGGACAGAAACCACACUGACUGUCGUUCCUGCCACCUGACUAUUGUCCUGUGGCCCAGGGCUGCCCAGAGCCCCUUCCUGCCCAAGUGGCAGCUGGCCCGCUGGAUCUGCAGGUGGGUCUUGGGGACACUUCUCAUCAGCUCAGCCACGCCGCCCGGGCAGCUCCUCAUGAAAGGCCUGCCUUGUGCGCCUGGGUGUGCCCAGGCCGCCGACGUCACCCGAAGCCCCUUCUCAUAAAUUCCAGCUCCGAGGUUUGCAGUUAUCGGGAGGAAGUUUCCAAUUGCUGGCUCACAUGUGGGAAAAUAUGAAAACAAGGCCAUAAAAAAGGAACUCCUACUAAUGAAACCUCCUAGAUUCCAAGGAGGAAAACGUAGCUCUCAGACCAAGUCCGUUUUCGCCCUUGCAUCUGAAAGGGAGUCCAGGGAAUUGCUAAUUUUGAACUUUCUAUACACCCUUCCUGCCUCUGGAUGUGGCCGCCUGACUCGAAUUCCUUUGCACAAUAAAAUGAGGGGGAAAAAAAUCACAUCACUUCAGCAAAACACAGGCUCGAUUUUUCUUGAUUAGCGGAAAAGUGUGUGCUAUUUAAAAAGACACGUCAUAUAACUUUUUAUUUUUUAGCAUUCCCAAGCAAAA
rnacentral:lncRNA from 1 species